GGUGUGAUAUGGCGUCUGUCUGGGUUGGACACCGAGGGACAAUGAGAGAUCAUCCAGGCUUUAACCCAUCUGUGGAUGCUGAGGCGAUUCAUAAGGCAGUCAGAGAAAUCGGAACUGAUGAGAAGACGCACAUCAGCAUUCUGACUGAGAGGUCGAAUGUACAGCGGCAGCUGACUGUUAAGGAAUAUCAAGCAGCAUAUGGAAAGGGGGAAAUGUUGGCAAAGAGGUGACUACCCUGAAAAAGAGCCUAAUGGAAAUUCCAGAAAUAAAAAACCAUGUCUGGACUGCAGCAUGAAUUGGAUGAGCUUAACGCCAGAGGAAAGAAUCUGUGAAACUGAAACAGCAAAAUGUAAAUGACCCAAACCGAAGCACAGUGAGGGAAAAUGCAGUGAGUUUAAGAAUGAGUUUAAGAAAAGACCCCAGAGGAGUUCCUGUGGUGGCAAAGUGGUUAACGAAUCCGACUAGGAACCAUGAGGUUGCGGCUUCGAUCCCUGGCCUCGCUCAGUGGGUUAAGGAUCCGGCGUUGCCAUGAGCUGUGGUGUAGGUUGCAGACAAGUCUCGGAUCCCGUGUUGCUGUGGCUCUGGCAUAGGCCGGCGGCUGCAGCUCCGAUUGGACCCCUAGCCUGGGAACCUCCAUAUGCCACGAGAGUGGCUCAAGAAAUGGCAAAAAGACAAAAAAAAAAAGACACGAGAGGUUUGUGGGACAAUGUCAAUGGGUCCACUGAUUGCAUGACUCAAUUCUCAGAAACUGAGGAACGAGGGAACAAAAUAAUACUUGAAGGGAUGAAUGGUUAGGAAUGUUCCCCAACUGAUGAAAAAUACCCAUCCACAAACCUCAGAAGCUCAUUGAAUCCCAGUGAAGACAGAUACAAAGACAAUCUUGCCCUGGACAGCACAGCAAAACUGCUGAAAAGCCAAAAAUUAUAAACACCAAAGCACAAGAGCAGCUAUAGAAAAAUGGGUUCAGGAGAAAGAAUUCUCAGAAACACAGGAGACCAAAUGGCAAAACCCAGCCUCUUCAGAGGAGGAAAGAAAAAACACGUCUACCCAGAACCUUACGUCCUGCACAAACACCCUUCAAUAAUGAGCCGAAGAAAGACAUACUCAGCCAAGAGUCCGUUCCCAUUUGACCCACAUAAAUGCUACGAGGAGAUCUUCGGAGAAGGGAGCUCAGGAGGGGAAGGACAAACGUGUGGCUAAGUGUACAGGCUUAGCAGAUUUCCAGGCGGAUGGAGAGACAUUCUCUGACAGCUGAAAGCUAAGGCUCAGCCUCUAGAGGAUCACAGAGAAGGAGGCUUGUUGUGAAACUGAGUCAGAAGGAUGCUCUUAUAGCAGACUUUCAAGACAACCCUUAGCCCGGGAUAACAACCAGAGGAUGACUGGCCUGAGAACUUGGUAUUCCAGAAAGCAGAAUUCAGGUACACAAGAGAUCAUGAUUCCCUUGAUUCCUCCUCACCCUUUUCACACUCUCUACCUCUUUCUCCCACUCCCUCUCAGCUUCUCUCUCUCUCUCUCUCUCUCUCUCUCUCUCUCUCUCUCUCUCUCUCUCUCUCCCCCUCUCUCUCUCCCUCUCCCCCUCCCUCCCUCCCUCCCUCUCUCUCUCUCUCGGUGCCCAGGGGCAGAGACAACAAUCCGGCCUAAGCAAUCUGGACUCAAGUUGGUAGGGUCAGUAUUUUGGCGGCCAGGGCUUAAUCUGGUUGUGUCAUUGUUUGAAGACUGUCAUUCUCAAGAAUCACACAAACCCUGACAGGACUGGAAGGUCGGUCUUAGGGAAAAUGCCUGAAGUUAGGAUUUACCCAUGGGGCCCAUAUUUUACCCAGUAAGCCAUGUGCUAGAAACGUUUCAAUUGGGAGGACACGCUAGGUGGAGUACCUAUGUCUCUGUCUUGGGGUAUGGCUCCUGGGUGCUCCACACACCACGAACUCACAUCCAAGGCAGGAAGAGGCAUCCCUUCAGAGAAUGUGGCCAGAGGGAACUGAGUGGCUGGAGGCCCGCAUGAACGGGUGGUCAGGAAGGAAGGGUCUGGAGACCAGGGAGCAUGAGAGGCUGGCUGGUCCACGGAGUUGGCCCUUGAUGGCUCAGGAUGGCCUCCAGUGAAUCACCUGUGAGUGAGGUCUUCUUCUCUGCUCAGGGUGGAGGGGAACAAGUCAAUGGAGGAAGAGAGUUAGCUUUGGGAUGAAAGGCCCAAGGCCAUGCGUGAGGGCCAGGAAGACUGGUGGUCUUUCCCUAGCAAAACGUCUUCUUGGUUUCACGACAGUUUCUACAGGCACCUUUCAGAAACAUCUACAAAAAGAAACACACUAGUGCCUAUGGGCACUCACAGAGACACACGAGGCCAGGUCCACCACACUCACUGCAGUUCGGUCUUGGGUCGUGAGGCAGCAAAGCACGGGUUCAGUGUGGGAGGAAAGAACAUGUAUUUCAAAGAUUUCCAAGACAGGGAUCAGAUCCAUUAGAGUCUCCUGACCUGGUAGUAACAGGGACGUGUCCUCCCUCUGAAGGCUCAGGAAAGGAGAAGUUGCCAGGCAAGAUGGGAUUUUUAUUAUGGCCAUCUGGGUUGAAGAGAUACUGAGAGAGGGCAUAUUGCAGUGGAUCGUUGUGCAUUUUGAAACAGUCCUGUCCCCUUUAGAGACCUGAGGCAAGGAACCUUCAUCAGGCAGCAGCCACAGCAAAGAGGAGGAGAGAUCGAGUGAGCAGGAGACAGAGCAGUGACAGAGAGGGGCAGGGAGGCGGCAACACAGACACAGGCAUCAACAGGUAGAUGGAGAGAAUCAGAGCCAGAGACAGAAAGACCGACAGAGAAUCUGGCAGGAUGGAUGGGAAGGGUGACGAUGAAGAAAAUAAGCGGGGGGAGGAAGAAGGGGAGAAAAACUAUUAGCGAUCUCAUGCGUACAUUGGGAAUGCAAACAUUGUCUCCUCCUCUGUCAUCAUUGGUCUUGAGUUUUGACACCAGGAAGGGGACUAACAAAAGGAACGAUAUCUUCACGGAGGCGGCUUGUAUAUUCUGGAACUGUACCUUCUAUGGGGAGACCCGGCCCUUGGGUUCAUAGCUUGUUCCCCUGGGGGCUGAAUGGACUUGGGUCAUAAGGGAAGUUUGUGAUACUUCCAUCAGGCGUGGUUCGCCCUAGCUCGCUAUGUGCUGCUUCUCCCCGUUUUUGAAAAGAAGGCAUCUUCAUGCCACAUCAGGCUUCGCCUCAAAGGAGAACACAUUUGGAGUGCCUUUCAAGUGAUGCAAACUCCCUGUACCAAACCAGUGCACAGAGUUCAUUGGGCAGCACUUUGGCUCAUUUUCCUAGGUAUAGGACAGGCCUAGAUGGGAAAAAGGCAAGGUUUGGUCUCCGAAGUAAACCCGCACUGGGGCUGGUGUUCACUCACUGAAUAGGAUACACUUUGCAAGGAGAAACGUUGCACAUUCAUCUUUUGUGGAGUUUGUGAGAUUUCCGUCCGGCGUGGAUUGCCCUAGGUCACUGUGUGCUGCUUUUUCCCGCUUGUGAAAAGAAGGCGUUUUCAUGCCACAUCAGGCUUCUCCUCAAAGGAGAACACGUUUGGAGUGCCUUUCAAGCGAUGCAAACUCCCUGCACCAAACCAGUGCACAGAGAGCACCUUGGCUCAUUUGCCGUAUGUAUAGGAGUGGCCUAGGUUGGAAAAAGGCAAGGGUUGCUUUCCCGAGCAAACCCGCACUGGGGCUGGUGUUCGUUCACUGAGACAGGAGCUCCUGAGUGUUACAGCUCUUAAAGUCACCUCUUGACCAGGUCAAAAUGACAACGGUCUUCUACCACCUGGCUUUCUUCAGGAAGUGAUAAAAUAUCCCAACCCAACCAGCUCCUGCCCCAGGCAUCCUGUCAGGCCCUAUUGGCCAGAAUAGGGUAAGAUGCUCUCCACACCCCCAGCCACUCCUAACAAAGAGGAAGGGGAGGACCGGGAUGGAUUUCCUGCAGUCACGAUGCAUUCCCAGGUAGCCCAUUGAUUGCAUCAGGAGACCCGAACAGUUCACAUUUUAUUCAUGAGUAUUACUGUGGUUCCGGGUAGAAGAAAUGGCUGCUGGGAAAAUACCAACAAUGUUUGUAAGGACAGUCACGGACCAAAAGUCCGCAGAGGGUAUGGAUUGUCCUUGGAGCUGAAGAAGUCACGGAAGAUAGGGAGUUCCCAUUGUGGGACAGCAGAAGUGAAUCCGAGCAUCAUCCGUGAGAAUUUGGGUUCGAUCCCUGGCCUCACCAGUGGGUCAGGGAUCCAGUGUUGCUGUGAGCUGUGGAGUAGGUUGCAGAUGCAGCUUGGAUCCUGCAUUGCUGGCCCUGUGGUGUAGGCUGGCUGCUGCAGCUCCUAUUAGAGCUCUGGUCUGGGAAGGUCCAUGUACCACGGCUGUGGCCUAAAAAAACAGUUACAGAAAAUAAAGACAGGGGUGCAGUGGUGCCGGCAGCACAUGGGACUAAAGUCUUCAGUGAUGAGCACAACGACAGAGAAGGGACAAAUGACUGCCCAGGAGGAGUGAUGAGGCUGUGUCUAGGAAGGCCACAACCACCUUACCAGACGGGCGGCCUGCUCCCUCUGUUGCCCUGGACCCUCGGGUGUGAGGACCGAUCCUCUGCUCAGAGUCCAGCCUCCUCUGUCCUCCUUGCUUCAUUCUACCUGCAGCCCACCCAUCUUUCUUUGGAUCUGCCUUUCUUUGAGAAGUUAUCCUCUGUAUUGGCUAUCAGGUGGCAGAACCUGUGGACCCAAAAGGAGCAGUUGCACUGGCAGGGACUAGGUGGACCUCGGGUCGCCAUGGAAAACUCUUGGUGGAGCACAGGCAAGAGUUGGGGCGGGAGGACCUGCACCCCAUAAGAAAUACCCACCAGCUCUCAGAUCCUCGAGGGUUGUAGGAGCACCGAGACAUUCAAGCUGGGAAAUGAAGACUGUGAUAGGGCAGAGCGAGACCCAAGCUUCCCCGGGCAAUGGCAGCGUGAGCUCCUGUCCAACUGCCAAAAGAUGAGAGUUGGCAUCUUACCAGAAGGUUUGGAGGGAUAGGAUGAGAGACGCCUGGCCAUUGGCCGGAAGCGCAUGGCGGGGGAGGGGGUUGCGGAAGCUGCCUCGUGAUUGGCCCGGGCCACGGGGAUGUCACAGGGAGGCAUUGUGACUUGAGGGCAAGGCAGUUAUAAAAGCCCAGUGCUUCCACCGUCUCCCAGACGGAGGAUAUGGCUUUUCAGCUGUUCCUGCUCUUGCUCUUCAAGGCGGUGUCCUCUGCCGCCUUCUCUGCACCUGCACAUGGCAUGCCCCAGGCCCACCUGUCCUGCCCCGGGCCUCUCACCCACACUUGGUGUACCACAUUCCUGUUCGCAUCCAGCUUUGAGCCCCUUUGCGGGCGGAUGAGCCUGCGCACCCGCACCCGGCGCCUCCUCCACCCGCAGCCCUCCUCGGGCCUGGCCCAGCUCCUCAACACUGUGCUCAGGUUCUACAACAGGGGCUUGGACGUCUGGAACCAGAACCAAGCAGACCCCCACGCGGAGGGGAAGCAGCCCUCCCAGCCCUGUUGGCCAAGAGACCUGGACACGUGCCACGCCUCCAACUCCACACUGCACAGAAGGCAGCUGGCCACCCCUCCUCAGACAUCCAUGGACCCCAGAUCCAAGAUCUCCACCUUGGCCCUCCUGCUCCACAAAGGAGAGUCACAGACUCACAGGGCGAGUUCCUGUACCUCCUGCCCACCUCCAUGCAACCUCUCAAAGGGCUCUCCAGCCCAUGUGGGACCACCAGCCUGGGUGAGGCGACUGGUCCAGUUAGGGCCACCAGUCCUGGCAGGGCCAAAAGUCCAGGCAAGGCGACCAGCCCAGGUGGGACCACCAGCCCAGGUGAGGACACCAGCCCAGGAAGGACCAGCAGCCCAGAUGGGACCAGUGGCCCUGGUGAUGCUACCACCACAGGUGGGACCAACAGCCCAUGUGGGGACGUUUCCCCAGGCAGGAGCAACAGCCCAAGUGGGGCCACCAAGCCUUGCGGGACCAAUGGCCCCAAUAGGGACAGCAGCCCAGGUGAUGGGGCCACUAGACCAGGCCACGACUCCAGCUGAUGCCAGGCUACCAGCCCAGGCAGGCCCAGCAUACCAGGUGGGGCCACCACUCCAGGCAAGUCCACCCGCCCAGAUGUGUCCGUCACCCCAGGCGAGGCUACCAACCCAGGUGGGGACACCAGCUCCUCUGGUGCCACCAGCCCAGUCAGGUCCACCAGCCCAGGUGGGGCCAACACCCCAGGCGGGGACACCAGCCCAGGCAGGGACACCAGGAUCGGCGAGGAUACCAGCCCAGGCGGAACCAACAUGCCAGGCCAGGCCAACAGCCCAGACGGGGACACCAGCCAUGACAGAAACCCUGUGGUCACAGCUAGGCUUUGGAAACAUUGAGAGUUUGCUCCUUCUGUUGACUCGCUGUGCUCUGGUGCUGCUCUUUUCCUUCUGGACAUUUAUCUCAUGCAGAGAGAUAAAGGACUACCGUGAGUUCCAACAAGAGCAGCUGGCAGAGCUGGGCAAAGGAUUGAAGAUGAUGGGUAAAGCCCUGGGAGAACUUGAGAAGACACUAAAUGCAGAAAGAGAACAUAAAAAUCAUCUUUCCAAGGAGCUGUCUGAGCUGAAGGCAGAGCUCAGAAUUUCUGAAAAGGAAACAGAGAGAUGGAAAAAGCUGUUUUUUCUAUUGUCCCGGGCACAACACCUUUUGAAGGCCUUCCCGGAAGAUGCAAAGGGGCACUGUGUGCAGGUGGAGCAGGGCCCUUAGAGGCAGGCCCAGGCCUGGGAGCUGGAGAGUUUCUUCCUCCCUGUGCACGCCCCCUAGAGGGGGAGAAGAGGGGUGGGGAGGGAGGGCAAAGCGGAGGCUAGGGUAGGGGUGCUGGGACAGAGACGUGGCCUGAAUUUCAUGAUGUAUGUAUAUUUUGAAUAAAUAAUUGAAUGUUGGAAGGCAAAGAAGUGUCCCCAGGAGAUUGUGUCACCUGGGAUGGGGGUCACAAGUCCAUGCACCCUCCAGCUGGAUGGGUCUCAGAGCCCGUGCAGAGCUGGGCGCCGUUCCCAUGGAAGGUAACCAGCCAGAGGGGUGGCACAAGACCUCACAGAUACGUCGUGGCAGAACCGGGGCUUGGACUUGCCGUUACGGCUCCAGCUCUGGCCGUGGGUCCUGCCUGAUGCGGGCGUUUGAUGAGCAAAGGGGAGGGGUGAGACCAGGGUAAGAGAGGCCAGAGGCAUGGGCUGUACCCCCCUGCCCCAGGAGAGGGGCUGGGACGGUGGGCUGUGCACUCAGAGACCCCGAAGCCCUACAGGAAGAGGGGAGGUGCUCCGGCUGCUCUGGGUUGGAGGCAUGGGGUGAGUGGACAGCGCAAGGCAGAGCAGGGACAAGUGGGAACAGGUGCACCUGGGACACUGGAGGGGGGGACCACUUCCAAGAGGCAGAGCUGAGUGUUGGGGGCUGUGGGGCAGGAGCUCGGGUUAACUGGGCCCCGAGGCAGGGCUAUGCCCCACCUGAUCACAGCCCAGUCCCUGCCUUCCCCAGCCCCUGCCUGCCGCCUCUGCUGCUGCUCAGCCGCCAGUAUCGGGGCCCUGAGACCCACAAGGAAGCUCUGAGCUCCAGGGAGCCAGGCGGACCCAUAGGGCAUUGGUUAGAUGUGUAUUUAUACUGAGAGGUUCACAGGAAGGCCCCAAGCCCCCGGCAGCCAUUUCUCCCCAGCAGUGACAUCUCACAUCACUAAGGACAGCAUUCCUCCAGAGACGCCAGCGUGGUGUGUGCGUUUGGAGCUGUCUGUCUGUCACCUGUGCACCCCCGUGACCAGGGCACAGACCAAGGGCCGAGUUGCCCCAGCAGACUAAGUCCUCCCUCAAGCCAGCCAACCUGCCCCCACUGCUCCUGCCUGAAGCAGCCACCAGCCCGCUCUCCCCUGUGGGAGUCUUGUCAUCUCUAGAGUGUGGAUGAGCAGAAUCAGAGCUGUGGCCUUUGGAGAUAGGACUCGUGUUUCCCCCACUCAGCAGGAUGCCCAGGUGUCCGACCCGGUUGUCCUCCCCCGUUCUUUCCUCUCUGUGGCUGGGUGGGCUGCAUGGUUCCAGGUUUUGGAGACUCCCGUAAACCUGCAGAGAACUUAAGCUUUCCUUUUCUGGCUCGCGUGAUUUAUGGUCACCUUUUUAAGAACGUGUCACAGCGGGGAGUGCCAGCCUUCAGGUUCUGUUCUCCUUUGCAUUUCCCUCAAGACUAGUGAUGGUGAUUGUAGUUUCAUAGGCUUCUUUCCACCUUUGUAUCCUCCAUGAUGAAUGUUAAUGUCUUUUGCCAAUUUUCUCUUGGGAUCACUUGGGGGGUUUUUUGCUUUUUUUGGGGGGCGGGGGGCUGCACCCAUGGCAUGUGCAGGUUCCCAGGCUAGGGGUCCAUUCGGAGCUGGAGCUGCCAGCCUAAACCACAGCCACAGCAACCCGGGAUCUGAGCCGAGUCUGCAACCUACAACACAACUCACGGCAAUGCCAGAUCCUUAACCCCCUGAGCGAGGCCAUGUUCUCAUGGAUGCUAGUCAGGUGUGUCUUACCCACUGAGCCACAAUGGGAACUCCACAUACGUUGGCUUUUACCGUUGAGUUUUGAGAGUUCUUUUGUCCGAUGUGUGCUUCGCCAACAUGUGCUCCUAGUCUGCAGCUUGUCUUUUUGUCCUAAUACAAUCUUACAGAGAAAAAAAAAA
rnacentral:lncRNA from 9 species